CGCGGGAUGGAGCAGUUUGCUAGCUCGUCGGGCUCAACUCUUUAUGAAAGGCUGGCGAAGGUCGUUGCUACUUCUGUUAUCGAAAGUAAUCCAGCUCCCGCAACCA
rnacentral:tRNA from 1 species